GACGAACGCUGGCGGCGUGCUUAACACAUGCAAGUCGAACGGAAAGGCCCUGCUUUUGUGGGGUGCUCGAGUGGCGAACGGGUGAGUAACACGUGAGUAACCUGCCCUUGACUUUGGGAUAACUUCAGGAAACUGGGGCUAAUACCGGAUAGGAGCUCCUGCUGCAUGGUGGGGGUUGGAAAGUUUCGGCGGUUGGGGAUGGACUCGCGGCUUAUCAGCUUGUUGGUGGGGUAGUGGCUUACCAAGGCUUUGACGGGUAGCCGGCCUGAGAGGGUGACCGGCCACAUUGGGACUGAGAUACGGCCCAGACUCCUACGGGAGGCAGCAGUGGGGAAUAUUGCACAAUGGGCGGAAGCCUGAUGCAGCAACGCCGCGCGCGGGAUGACGGCCUUCGGGUUGUAAACCGCUUUCGCCUGUGACGAAGCGUGAGUGACAGUAAUGGGUAAAGAAGCACCGGCUAACUACGUG
rnacentral:rRNA from 1 species